rnacentral:rRNA from 1 species
AGCUUGCUCUUGAUGACGAGUGGCGCACGGGUGAGUAACGCGUAUGCAAUCUACCUAUAACUGAGGAAUAGCCCAGAGAAAUUUGGAUUAAUACCUCAUAAUAUUAUUAUUUGGCAUCAUUUAAUAAUUAAAACUCCGGUGGUUAUAGAUGAGCAUGCGUUCUAUUAGCUAGUUGGUGAGGUAAGAGCUCACCAAGGCUACGAUAGAUAGGGGGCCUGAAAGGGUGAUCCCCCACACUGGUACUGAGACACGGACCAGACUCCUACGGGAGGCAGCAGUGAGGAAUAUUGCACAAUGGAGGAAACUCUGAUGCAGCCAUGCCGCGUGCAGGAUGAAGGCCCUAUGGGUUGUAAACUGCUUUUUUACAAGAAGAAACCUUGGUACGUGUACCAACUUGACGGUAUUGUAAGAAUAAGCACCGGCUAACUCCGUGCCAGCAGCCGCGGUAAUACGGAGGGUGCAAGCGUUAUCCGGAUUUAUUAGGUUUAAAGGGUUCGCAGGCGGAAUUUUAAGUCAGUGGUGAAAGCCUACAGCUCAACU